rnacentral:rRNA from 1 species
UACGUAGGGACCAAGCGUUGUCCGGAAUCAUUGGGCGUAAAGAGCGUGUAGGCGGCUUGUUAAGUCUUGCGUGAAAUCUCGGGGCUCAACCCCGAGCGGUCGUGAGAAACUGGCAGGCUAGAGUGCGGGAGAGGAGAGUGGAAUUCCUGGUGUAGCGGUGAAAUGCGCAGAUAUCAGGAGGAACACCGGUGGCGAAGGCGGCGCCCUGGGCCGGUACUGACGCUGAGGAGCGAAAGCGUGGGGAGCGAACAGG